rnacentral:tRNA from 1 species
AUCGUGGCUGAGUGGUUAAGGCGAUGGACUAGAAAUUCAUUGGGGUCUCCCCGUGCAGGUUCAAAUCCUGCCGAU